rnacentral:rRNA from 1 species
CGGAUUGUAAAGCCCUUUCGACGGGGACGAUAAUGACGGUACCCGUAGAAGAAGCCCCGGCUAACUUCGUGC